rnacentral:tRNA from 1 species
GGAAGCAUAACUCAAUAGGUCAGAGUGUUUCACUUUUAAUGAAAAAGCUAAGAGUUCGAGUCUCUUUGUUUCUG